UCCUCCCUCUUCCCCUCCUUUCCUCCCUCUUCCCCUCCUUUCCUCCCUCUUCCCCUCCUUCCCUCCCUCCUCAAGCACAACACAUCCACAUCGGCCCCCAGCCCAGCGCAGCUUUGAGAGACCCACUUACCUCAGAGGAACCCAAUCAAUCCCCACAACCACCUCUCUAGAAUAUGAAGAUGGAGAUACAGAGACAGUCCCACUCUAUCGCCAGGGUAGAGUACAGUGGUGCAAUCAUGGUCCUCUGCAGCCUCCAACUCCUGGGCUCAAGCUAUUGUCCUAUCUCAGCCUCUCAAGUAGCUUGGACUGCAGCUGAGAUUCCCAGCAAGCAGUAGGCUCCCAUCCUGGACUCCAAGGAGACAACUCUUCCCUGCGCCUUCACCUGGAAAGCUGUUGCCCUCUCUUCCCAGAUCACAAUCACAAGACUCCAAAUUACCGAGUGGGGUCCAACGAGGUGGGACUGUAAGGAACAUGUCCUGUGGACAUUACCUUCACUGUUCUCAUGAGUGGGAUGGGAAGAAAAGAGUCCUCCCCUUCCAAUUGGUGGAUUUUCUGGGCUUGGAAGGAGGAAAACAAAAACAAAAACAACCAAACAGAAAAUAACUAUUACCUGAAUUAUUAUGAAACUUCAGAGAAAACUACUUAUUUGAAGAAAAUAAAAUACGAUUUAUGUUGUUGAAUUUGCAUUGCCAGAAAGUUUCCAGUGUCCUUACUACAAUUUUUUUUUUUCACCAUCAAGUUUGGUCAGAAUCUCACAGCUCAGAGAAAACGAUGGAGGAAUAAUAAGAUCUAGAGCAGUGCUUCUCGUAUCUUAUGUGUGAAGAAUCUUUUAUUAAUUUGUUUAAUUUCCAGACUGACAGUUUUGUAAAAUGCCUUAUUAGAAAAAAUUUUAAAAAUAAAGAAAUAAAAAGUCAAGCCCCAAAUAUUGUA